rnacentral:rRNA from 1 species
GGGGGGGGGGGGGGGGGUGGUGGGGGGGGGGGGGGCGGACGGGGAGGGCCGGCUUGUGUGGGGUGCGCGCGUGGCGAAGGGGUGAGUAACACGUGAGUAACCUGCACUUGACUUUGGGCUGACUUCGGGACGCUGGGGCUGAUACCGGAUCGGAGCUCCUGCUGCAUGGUGGGGGUUGGAAAGUUUCGGCGGUUGGGGAUGGGCUCGCGGAUUCUCAGCUUGUUGGUGGGGUGGUGGCUUACCAAGGCUUUGACGGGGAACCGGCCUGAGAGGGUGACCGGCCACAUUGGGACGUAGAGACGGCCCAGACCCCUACGGGAGGCAGCAGUGGGGAAUAUUGCAACAUGGGCGGAAGCCUGAUGCAGCAACGCCGCGUGCGGGAUGACGGCCUUCGGGUUGUAAACCGCUUUCGCCUGUGACGAAGCGUGAGUGACGGUAAUGGGUAAAGAAGCACCGGCUAACUACGUG